UACGUAGGGUGCAAGCGUUGUCCGGAAUUAUUGGGCGUAAAGAGCUCGUAGGCGGUCUGUCGCGUCUGCUGUGAAAACUCGGGGCUUAACCCCGGGCCUGCAGUGGGUACGGGCAGACUAGAGUGCGGUAGGGGAGACUGGAAUUCCUAGUGUAGCGGUGAAAUGCGCAGAUAUCAGGAGGAACACCGGUGGCGAAGGCGGGUCUCUGGGCCGUAACUGACGCUGAGGAGCGAAAGCGUGGGGAGCGAACAGG
rnacentral:rRNA from 1 species